GGGAAUGGCUGAGCUGUGUCAGGGGAGGGUCGGGCUGGAUUUUAGGAAAAAGUUCUUCCCCCAGAGGGUGUCAGUCACUGCCCAGACUCCCCAGGGAAUGGUCAUGACCCCAAGGCUGCCAGAACUCCAGGAGGGUUUGGACAAUGCUCCCAGAGAUGCCCAGGGUGGGAUUUUUGGGGUGUCUGUGCAGGGCCAGGAGCAGGACUGUGAUCCUUGUGAGUCCCUUCCAGCUCAGGGUAUUGUAUGACUCUGACAGGCUCCCCACAGCCCCUGAGCCCCCCAGUAACACCUGGAGGGUUCAAGGACAAGAAGCAGAAUGUCCCCAUGUCCCUGCUGCAGGGACACACAGGACAGCAGAGUGUCCCCAUGUCCCUGCUGCAGGGACACUCAGGACAGGAGUGUCACCAUGUCCCUGCUGCGGGGACACACAGGACAGGAGUGUCACCAUGUCCCUGCUGCGGGGACACACAGGACAGGAGGUUCCUGCAGGUGUUUUGUCUGACCAGCCCAGAAGGCUGCAAAGGGCUGACUCUGGGUUUGGGAGCAGUUAUUGCAAAAGGCAGCCUGUGGCUGGACUGUUAGAAUUGCAUCUGCCCCAGGAUCAGAGAGGCUUUAUUUCCUUUCUGAGUAACCCUGAGACAGCCCCUUCUCUCAGCCCUGUCCUCCCCACGUUACUCAUGGCAGGAAGCUGCUUACGUGAGUGAGGGCUGGAAAAUGCUGCACUGCCCUUUCACCACGAAUUUUCAAGGAAAAUGGAAUUAAAAUUCCCCCAAACUGGCCUUGAGCCGCUGCCUCCUGUCAGCAGCAUCCCCUCUCACAGUCCCCACAUCCUCCAUCACCCUGAAUCACCGUGCCAGAGCUCACAGGGCUCCAGAGCUGCUCUGGGUUCCUCCUCAUUUUUCGGUACCCAGGUGGGAAGGGCAGGGCAGGGCAGGGCAGCAGCUUCCCUACAAAGCUGGAGCAGCAUCCUCACCUCUGGGGAAGGGUUUGUGGUGCCCAGCUCCAGAGAAGAGCUCGGGGAGGGCAGCCCAGUCCCAGACGUGUCCCAGAGCAGAUUCCCGAGCCUGCCCCAGGAGUCCCAGGCUGGGCAGAGGCUGAGCUCAGGUGGAUUUUCCUCUUGGGAUGCAGUGUGGUGACUCCAGUCAGGGUUAAUCAUAUCCUGUGGGAGGAAAAAGAGCCCUCAAGGAUGUGAACUAAUGAAACAGAGGUGCUGAGGAACGGAUGUUAAAUCCCUGUACAUCCUCAGCUCCUGGGGAAGAUCCUCCUGGGAUCUGCCUGUUCAGGUCCAGAUUGUGCCACUAACACCAGCUGAUGGUCGAGUUUGCUGCCACUGUAAUUAAAACUAAAACUAAUCAACAGAAUCUGGGGUUGUUCUGCAGGUCAGCAAAUUUCCCUGGUGUAUCUGCACAUGGCAGAGGACAUUGGAGCCACUGGGCAGAGCUGAGCAGGAGCCUCCAGAGCCACAGAGAGUGGCACCAAUGAUUCAACUCAAAUUAAAUGUCUAAUUAUGAUAACUCUCUCCCACGGUGGGAAUUCUGCUGGUGAAACAAGCCCAGCAAAUAUCCAAUAUUACACUGAGUUUAUGUAAACUCAGGCACAGCCUCCACAGCUUCCAGAGAGGUGCCCGAGCUCGUGGCCUCCUCCACCAGCACUGACCCCUCAGCAGAGCUGUAUAUUUUGGUUUUUCCCUGUUUAUUUCUGCUAGAUGUCCUCUGAAACAACUGUGCUCCAACAAGGACUGCUGGAGGAGGAGGCAGAUCUUACACUUCAUACUCAGAGAAGGCAAAAUUUGUGGCUAAACUGACUCUGAGAAGGAAGUUGGGAAAAGUAGAAAUAUGGUUUAUUAGCUAUCAAAUCUAGCACAAAACAACACAGCCAGGAGAAUACUGUUCUUUCAUGAACCAAGGAGAGUGAUAACAAAAAGUUAAAGCUGAAGUUUCAACCCCAAAUGUAAUUCAGUUACAAGAAAAAAUAUGUAAAUUCUUCAGCCCUCGCUUUCCCUGGAAAAUUGAAAUUUCUACGAAAUACCAGCUCUUUAUCUAAACUAUAAGGAUUAUGUCAAUACAAACUGCAGGAGUUGUAGGGAGAGGGAGGACAUUUGAGGCUGUUUGAGAAAAUAGUAAAUUGAGGAAUAUUUUUGUUUCUUUCUAUUUUAUGUUAAACUUCAGGGGCUUUUCCUUAAGUUCAGCAACACCACAGGAGAGCAUCACCUUUGCCAUCCCAGCUCACACAAACACAGUUUCAGCUCCUUUUGGAUGGAGUGAUCUGUAUUUAAAGACUUUCAUUGAAUGUUUUUGCUGGAUUUUAUAUAGGAAUACAUAAAUAAGAAGACCAGGGGCAGCGGUGAAAAGGCAAUGCUGAGCAAGACCCUGAUGUUGGUGAGGAGUUUUCUGUCCCCUCUCCCAAAGCUAAGGGGGUCAGGGCCCCCUGAGGAGGCACUGACAGCAUUUUAUCCAUCAGAAGGAGGAUUUUAAAGCCCAGUAACCUUUGAUAAGAGCAGGGAUUAGCAGUGAGUGACACCGUGACAAAAGCCAGCCCUGCGCAUGUCCCACACGCGCUGCCCGAGGACGCUGCUGGCACCGUAACGGGGAGAAAAGAUGAAGUAACAGCAAAGAGGGGAAGUGAAAAGGACAUUGCUUCAUUUCUUUAUGAAACAAGGGUCCUGGAGUUCUCUCAAAACGUGUGUUUGUUUUUGGAGAAACUGCUGGAACAGACACUGAGGCCACCAAGGUCACUGGGGGAAGGAUUUGGUGGCUCUGCAGGGUGACCAGUCACAGGAGGCCACUCACAGGUACAAAUAUUCCACGUCUGGAGGCUUUCCCUCAGCUCCAGUAGAAAUAUUGAGCAUGAUAAAGACCAAAGAGAGUCAUUCCAAGGUUUUUAUUGAAGGAGGUGCUUCAAACACUUGGUCUCAGGAGGUGGGAAUGGGGCAAUGCCACUGCUGGGGUUCAGCCACCCCAACCCUCUCCAAGUCAGAGGAAUUCUGGGAUCAGGAGUUCCAAAUCCCUUCCUGGCACACAGGAGCUGCUCAGCCCCCUCUCACAGCCCUAACACAAAUCUAUCCUCAUCCUGUCAUGCUUAUCUCACCCCUAACAAGUGGGGGGGACUUCUGACUGCCCUGGCAAGUGGGAAGUGACUUAUUCCUGGUGUGUCAGUGAGGCAGAGGGGCAGGGAUUGAUGGUGGAGCACCAGGCCAUUCUCCAUCACCUAUUCCAGCAGAAAAGUUCAUCCUGAGCUCAGCACCAACUCAGAUGAGCACUAGGGGUGGUGACCAGGAGCACUGCCCUGCAGAGACAGCUUCAGGGCACAUACCAGGAAAUGUCACUCUGCUUCUACCCCUCUUUAUUCCUUCUGCUUUUCACACAGUGACUGGAAAAUUCACCGCUGGAGCGUCACAGACAAUCCCCACAUCAAUCCCCACAUCAAUCCCCAUGGAUGAGCUCAGCUGGCAGCUGCUCCAGGCCCCAUUUGCAGCCUCUGGAGCCACCAGCCCCUUUUCCAGAGGAGGGAAAUGGCAAAGCCAGCACUCCUGGAGCAGAGCCUUUGGAAGGGCUCCCUGAAAUUCCCCGCUCUCAGCAGCCUCCAGCACCAGGCACAGCAGCAGGAAAAGCAGCAAGGAGGAUUUUUUCAUAGCAAGAGAAGGUGGGGAAGGUGGGAAGGGGCCAGUUUGGGGUUUUAUUCUGCUUUCUCUCCUAAAGCGUCCUUGAUAAUUCCACUUGCAGGUUCUCUCCCAGAGAUCUGCUCUACCAGCUGAGGAUUCCUCCUUGUGCCACCACCUCCCAUGGAAUAUCAGUGCUUGGACCUUCCCUCUGAGGGUGGGAAACCAGAUCCAUGCCAAUCUCAAACUGGAGAUCAUCAGCCCCAAAGAAAGAAGUAGAUUUCAGUAAUGGAUACAGCGUGGAGAUUUCCUGGAGGAGCCAAUAUUUGAAUUCUUCACAGCUGCAUCUCUUCCUUUUGCUGGGUGGGUUGGUUUUAUUUUUUCCUCUUUAGCCUGAAGUGCUCCCGAGUGCCUCAUGCCGUGUCUCUGCUUCUUAUUUUCAUCCCAGACCUGAUUCAUAGCUGUGCACUGAUAUGAAAUCUAUCAGAUAGAAAAUGCUCACUGGGGUGGGGAGAGUCCCUUCUGCAGUGCUGAGGACACCCCCACGAUGGGAAGGGGAGUUGUGGCUGUAAGAGGAGACCCCAGCACAGAGCAGGGGCCCCCAGGCCUCCAUCAAGUGAAAAAUAAAAAAAUAAAACAAAAAAAAA
ensembl:lncRNA